rnacentral:rRNA from 1 species
GUGGGGAAUCUUGCGCAAUGGGCGAAAGCCUGACGCAGCCAUGCCGCGUGAAUGAUGAAGGUCUUAGGAUUGUAAAAUUCUUUCACCGGGGACGAUAAUGACGGUACCCGGAGAAGAAGCUCCGGCUAACUUCGUGCCAGCAGCCGCGGUAAUACGAAGGGGGCUAGCGUUGCUCGGAAUUACUGGGCGUAAAGGGCGCGUAGGCGGACAGCUUAGUCAGAGGUGAAAGCCCAGGGCUCAACCUUGGAAUUGCCUUUGAUACUGGCUGUCUUGAGUUUGGGAGAGGUGAGUGGAACUCCGAGUGUAGAGGUGAAAUUCGUAGAUAUUCGGAAGAACACCAGUGGCGAAGGCGACAUACUGGCUCAUUACUGACGCUGAGGCGCGAAAGCGUGGGGAGCAAACAGGAUUAGAUACCCUAGUAGUCC